rnacentral:rRNA from 1 species
UACAGAGGGUGCGAGCGUUGUUCGGAAUUAUUGGGCGUAAAGGGCGCGUAGGCGGUGCGGUAAGUCACCUGUGAAAUCUCCUGGCUCAACUGGGAGCUUGCAGGCGAAACUGCCGUGCUGGAGUGUGGGAGAGGUGCGUGGAAUUCCCGGUGUAGCGGUGAAAUGCGCAGAUAUCAGGAGGAACACCGGUGGCGAAGGCGGUUCUCUGGGCAUUACCUGACGCUGAGGAGCGAAAGUGUGGGAGCGAACAGG